UUAAAUAUUAUUUAUCUUUUAUGUUUUAAUCUUUUAUGUCAUGGAAGGUUGAAUUUAAUAAAAUUGAUUAUUUUUUUUAAUCUAAAAUGCUUACUAAAUAUGCUAGAGGGACAAAUACAACACAUUGAUGUAUUUGGAUUUUCUUUAAUAAUUAUUUAAAUUUUGAGAAGGAUUUUUUACAACUACAUAAAGGGCAAUAAUAUUUGAUAAAUGUAAGGAGAAUUUGAAACUUAAAAGAAAAUUAACGAAACUAUUUCUUAAAUAGAAAGGAAGAAAUAUGGUUGAAGUUGUCAAAUUUGCUUAUAUUAUGUUUAUCUUUCUUUCUAUAUUGUCGGCGUCAAUCUUCAAUGGAAGAAAUUCCAUGUGCAGGAGGGAUACCGAUUGUUUAAGUCGUAUGUGCUUGCCACCAAAGAUAGUGAGGUGUUCCAAUAAAAUAUGUGUGUGUGGUCCUAUAUGAUUAUACAUUUAAUGUCUUAUCCAAGAGAGUACACAAAUGAGCUUCAAGGAAAGUUUUAUGAACUAUAAUGUAGUUAUUGUAUUGUCAUAUCAUAAUUUGUUUUUUUUUUCUUUUACAUUUCACAAACGGUGUAUUAUGCUUAAUUUUAUUUACAUUGUGUUCUUAUAUUCAAUUAAAUUCACUUUUUCCUUCUUUUAGAAUAU